GCCCGGGUGGUGAAACUGGCAGACACACCAUCUUGAGGGGGUGGCGGCUUCGCGCCGUGCGGGUUCAAGUCCCGCCCCGGGCACCA
rnacentral:tRNA from 1 species